rnacentral:rRNA from 1 species
AUUGACCGCCGGCGGCAGGUCUAACACAUGCAAGUCGAACGAGUGGCGGACGGGUGAGUAAUGUCUGGGAAACUGCCCGAUGGAGGGGGGUAACUACUGGAAACGGUAGCUAAUACCGCAUACCAUCGGAUGUGCCCAGAUGGGAUUAGCUAGUAGGUGGGGUGACGGCUCACCUAGGCGACGAUCCCUAGCUGGUCUGAGAGGACGACCAGCGACACUGGAACGGAGAUACGGUCCAGACUCCGACGAGAGGCAGCAGUGGGGAAAAUUACACAAUGGGCGCGAGCCUGAUGCAGCCAUGCCGCGUGUAUGAAGAAGGCCUUCGGGUUGUAAAGUACUAUCAGCGAGGAGGCGUUACGCGCAGAAGAAGCACCGGCUAACUCCGUGCCAGACGCCGCGGUAAUUC